rnacentral:rRNA from 1 species
GACGAACGCUGGCGGCGUGCCUAAUACAUGCAAGUCGAACGCUUUUUCUUUCACCGGAGCUUGCUCCACCGAAAGAAAAGGAGUGGCGAACGGGUGAGUAACACGUGGGUAACCUGCCUAUCAGAAGGGGAUAACACUUGGAAACAGGUGCUAAUACCGUAUAACAAUAGAAACCGCAUGGUUUCUAUUUGAAAGGCGCUUUUGCGUUACUGAUGGAUGGACCCGGGGUGCAUUAGCUAGUUGGUGAGGUAACGGCUCAUCAAGGCAACGAUGCAUAGCCGACCUGAGAGGGUGAUCGGCCACAUUGGGACUGAGACACGGCCCAAACUCCUACGGGAGGCAGCAGUAGGGAAUCUUCGGCAAUGGACGAAAGUCUGACCGAGCAACGCCGCGUGAGUGAAGAAGGUUUUCGGAUCGUAAAACUCUGUUGUUAGAGAAGAACAAGGAUGAGAGUAGAAUGUUCAUCCCUUGACGGUAUCUAACCAGAAAGCCACGGCUAACUACGUGCCAGCAGCCGCAGUAAAAC